GCGGCAGGCCUAAUACAUGCAAGUCGAACGGUGAUAGCAAUAUCAUAGUGGCGCACGGGUGCGUAACACGUAUGCAACCUACCUAUUAUUGGGGGAUAGCCUUUGGAAACGGAGAUUAAUACCGCAUAAUACGAUUGACUGGCAUCGGUUGAUUGUUAAAGCUUAGGCGAUAAUAGAUGGGCAUGCGUCCAAUUAGUUAGUUGGUUAGGUAACGGCUGACCAAGACAAUGAUUGGUAGGGGAUCUGAGAGGAUAAUCCCCCACACUGGCACUGAGAUACAGGCCACACUCCUACGGGAGGCAGCAGUAGGGAAUAUUGGGCAAUGGGCGGAAGCCUGACCCAGCCAUGCCGCGUGCAGGAAGAAGGCGUUAUGCGUUGUAAACUGCUUUUUUAUAGGAAGAAGGAUCCCUUGCGAGGGAAGGUGACGGUACUAUAAGAAUAAGCACCGGCUAACUCCGUGCCAGCAGCCGCGGUAAUACGGAGGGUGCAAGCGUUGUCCGGAUUUAUUGGGUUUAAAGGGUGCGUACGCGGUUUAUUAAGUCAGUGGUGAAAGACGGUCGCUCAACGAUUGCAGUGCCAUUGAUACUGGUAGACUUGAGUG
rnacentral:rRNA from 1 species